rnacentral:rRNA from 1 species
UGCAAGUCGAGCGAUCUCUUCGGAGAGAGCGGCGGACGGGUGAGUAACGCGUGGGUAACCUGCCCUGUACACACGGAUAACAUACCGAAAGGUAUACUAAUACGGGAUAAUAUAUGAAAGUCGCAUGGCUUUUGUAUCAAAGCUCCGGCGGUACAGGAUGGACCCGCGUCUGAUUAGCUAGUUGGUAAGGUAAUGGCUUACCAAGGCAACGAUCAGUAGCCGACCUGAGAGGGUGAUCGGCCACACUGGAACUGAGACACGGUCCAGACUCCUACGGGAGGCAGCAGUGGGGAAUAUUGCACAAUGGGCGAAAGCCUGAUGCAGCAACGCCGCGUGAGCGAUGAAGGCCUUCGGGUCGUAAAGCUCUGUCCUCAAGGAAGAUAAUGACGGUACUUGAGGAGGAAGCCCCGGCUAACUACGUGCCAGCAGCCGCGGUAAUACGUAGGGGGCUAGCGUUAUCCGGAAUUACUGGGCGUAAAGGGUGCGUAGGUGGUUUUUUAAGUCAGAAGUGAAAGGCUACGGCUCAACCGUAGUAAGCUUUUGAAACUAGAGAACUUGAGUGCAGGAGAGGAGAGUAGAAUUCCUAGUGUAGCGGUGAAAUGCGUAGAUAUUAGGAGGAAUACCAGUAGCGAAGGCGGCUCUCUGGACUGUAACUGACACUGAGGCACGAAAGCGUGGGGAGCAAACAGGAUUAGAUACCCUGGUAGUCCACGCCGUAAACGAUGAGUACUAGGUGUCGGGGGUUACCCCCCUCGGUGCCGCAGCUAACGCAUUAAGUACUCCGCCUGGGAAGUACGCUCGCAAGAGUGAAACUCAAAGGAAUUGACGGGGACCCGCGCAAGUAGCGGAGCAUGUGGUUUAAUUCGAAGCAACGCGAAGAACCUUACCUAAGCUUGACAUCCCACUGACCUCUCCCUAAUCGGAGAUUUCCCUUCGGGGACAGUGGUGACAGGUGGUGCAUGGUUGUCGUCAGCUCGUGUCGUGAGAUGUUGGGUUAAGUCCCGCAACGAGCGCAACCCUUGCCUUUAGUUGCCAGCAUUAAGUUGGGCACUCUAGAGGGACUGCCGAGGAUAACUCGGAGGAAGGUGGGGAUGACGUCAAAUCAUCAUGCCCCUUAUGCUUAGGGCUACACACGUGCUACAAUGGGUGGUACAGAGGGUUGCCAAGCCGCGAGGUGGAGCUAAUCCCUUAAAGCCAUUCUCAGUUCGGAUUGUAGGCUGAAACUCGCCUACAUGAAGCUGGAGUUACUAGUAAUCGCAGAUCAGAAUGCUGCGGUGAAUGCGUUCCCGGGUCUUGUACACACCGCCCGUCACACCAUGGAAGUUGGGGGCGCCCGAAGCCGGUUAGCUAACCUUUUAGGAAGCGGCCGUCGAAG